rnacentral:rRNA from 1 species
UACGUAGGGUGCAAGCGUUAAUCGGAAUUACUGGGCGUAAAGCGUGCGCAGGCGGUUAUGCAAGACAGAUGUGAAAUCCCCGGGCUCAACCUGGGAACUGCAUUUGUGACUGCAUGGCUGGAGUGCGGCAGAGGGGGAUGGAAUUCCGCGUGUAGCAGUGAAAUGCGUAGAUAUGCGGAGGAACACCGAUGGCGAAGGCAGCCCCCUGGGCUAACACUGACGCUCAUGCACGAAAGCGUGGGGAGCAACAGG